UGGUUCUGGCAUCGAUGAAGAACGCAGCGAAAUGCGAUAAGUAAUGUGAAUUGCAGAAUUCAGUGAAUCAUCGAAUCUUUGAACGCACAUUGCGCCCCUUGGUAUUCCGGGGGGCAUGCCUGUUCGAGCGUCAUUUCAACCCUCAAGCUCUGCUUGGUAUUGAGUCCAUAUCAGCAAUGGUAGGCUCUAAAAUCAGUGGCGGCGCCGCUGGGUCCUGAACGUAGUAAUAUCUCUCGUUACAGGUUCUCGGUGAGCUUCUGCCAAAACCCAAAUUUUCUAUGGUUGACCUCGGAUCAGGUAGGGAUACCCGCUGA
rnacentral:misc_RNA from 1 species